AGUGAACGCUGGCGGCAGGCCUAAUACAUGCAAGUCGAACGGCAGCACAGCAGAGCUUGCUCUGUGGGUGGCGAGUGGCGGACGGGUGAGGAAUACGUGGGAAUCUGCCCAGUCGUGGGGAUAACGUAGGGAAACUUACGCUAAUACCGCAUGCGCCCUUCGGGGAAAGCCGGGGACCUUCGGGCCUGGCGCGAUUGGAUGAGCCCACGUCGGAUUAGCUAGUUGGCGGGGUAAAGGCCCACCAAGGCGACGAUCCGUAGCUGGUCUGAGAGGAUGAUCAGCCACACUGGAACUGAGACACGGUCCAGACUCCUACGGGAGGCUGCAGUAGGGAAUAUUGGACAAUGGGCGCAAGCCUGAUCCAGCCAUGCCGCGUGAGUGAAGAAGGCCCUCGGGUUGUAAAGCUCUUUUGUCCGGAAAGAAAAGCACCGGGUUAAUACCCUGGUGUCCUGACGGUACCGGAAGAAUAAGCACCGGCUAACUUCGUGCCAGCAGCCGCGGUAAU
rnacentral:rRNA from 1 species